ensembl:lncRNA
UUGCAUUUCUGUAAGGCUAGGUGUAGACAUUAAUAUCUGAUAGGUAGCAUUUUUAUUGUUCAACUGUGUUCCGUACUGUUUUAAUGUGAGGUAGCAAAAUCUUCAGAACACUGUUUAUAGAGCUUUACUGCCAAUAAUUUAAAUAAAAAAAAAUAUUUGCGAGCAUGAAGAACAAAAACUUCCACGUUUUCAGCGGUGAGUGAAUUCUAACUAACGUAAAUGCCUCUGAUUGGCUAAUGCGUUCAAGAAAUCAACAGAUGUGUCUGUGAUUGGCUACUUCGCUCAACGCUGAAAAAACAGUCGGAGCACAUAAACAAACUUUUGCCAGUAUUUCGCUAGUAUCCUGUUAUUACAGCUUCAACUGAGGGUGCUUAGCAGAAAUGAGCCUUUAAUCCUAAAACAAGGUGAUAGGAAUGACUAACAACUUCAAGAGAGACCUCGAGGAAAAUUCAAA